GAUCAUGGCUCAGGAUGAACGCUGGCGGCGUGCUUAACACAUGCAAGUCGAGCGAAGCACUUUGCUUUGAUUUUCUUCGGGAUGAAGAGCUUAGUGACUGAGCGGCGGACGGGUGAGUAACGCGUGGGUAACCUGCCUCAUACGAGGGGGAUAACAGUUAGAAAUGACUGCUAAUACCGCAUAAGGCCACAGCACCGCAUGGUGGACAGGGGUAAAAACUCCGGUGGU
rnacentral:rRNA from 1 species